rnacentral:misc_RNA from 1 species
AAAAAAAAAAAAUCAUAAAAGUCUUUAUGUGUUUAUUGAUAUAAUGGUAUAUUUCUUCAUUUUCUCUUUUGUUUUCGUUUGACACGGACAUGGAUCAAUUACACAAAAGUUUGUGACUCUUUUCCUAAAGUAGACAAAAAUUACUGCAAAAUCAUGAAGUGUAUUGAUAUAUAUGUUUAAACCUAGCGUAAAUAGAUGGGUUGAGAAAUAUGUUAAUGUAAAUAGGGGUGGUUAAGUAAUCAACGCAAAUAGGUUAGUAUUAAUUUUUAAUGAGGAUAUUAGUGGAAAUAAAUAAUAUAUAAUUUAUAAAAACUUUCCCAAUACCCCAAAUUGAUGGGUUGAGAUAUGAGGUUUUGGGUGUUCUAAAAACCCUCCAAAACCUUGCCCUCCCCAUAACGCCUUCCUCCCAAACAAGUAGGAUUACUGUAAAAAACCUUAUCUUACCUUCAAAAACCUACUCCCAAAGAUAACUACGCCUGGAUUUACCAGAUAGACUGGCAAUCCCUAAUUCUGAAGAAAUAUUGUUCGAAGUUUGUUAGCAAAGGUGCAAAUCUUGUUGUCUGGUUUUGUGUUUAGGAACUCAUUAAUGAACAGAGACCAAACAAAGAAUUAAUUCAAAUCUUCCCUCCAGCUUCAGUUCAUUAUCUUUAUGGUUAUAUGCUCAAGUUUGUUUUAUUUACCUAGUUAUAAUAUUCUUUGAUAACUGUUUAGUCAUUCUUCUGUGCUUCUGCGGACUUUUUCUUUCUUAAUGGUUCGAAAUGCAAGCCUAUCAACUUUCUUCUAGUUGCUAGUGAUCUCUUGAUUUGGUGUGUGCAUGCAAAGAUAUGUUCAACUUAUUUGGCUUGAGCUCUGAAGUGCAAGUUCAUUUUAAAAAAAAAUACAUUGAUG